rnacentral:tRNA from 1 species
GGGGUUGUGGCUCAGUGGUAGAGUCUCGCCUGGCAUGCGCGAGGCCCUGGGUUCAAUCCUCAAAACCACA